UAAUACGUAGGGUGCGAGCGUUGUCCGGAAUUAUUGGGCGUAAAGAGCUUGUAGGUGGCUCGUUGCGUCGGGAGUGAAAACCCGCGGCUUAACCGCGGGCCUGCUUCCGAUACGGGCGGGCUAGAGUUCGGCAGGGGAGACUGGAAUUCCUGGUGUAGCGGUGGAAUGCGCAGAUAUCAGGAGGAACACCGGUGGCGAAGGCGGGUCUCUGGGCCGAUACUGACACUGAGAAGCGAAAGCGUGGGGAGCGAACAGGAUUAGAUACCCUGGUAGUCCACGCCGUAAACGUUGGGAACUAGGUGUGGGGUCCAUUCCACGGGCUCUGUGCCGCAGCUAACGCAUUAAGUUCCCCGCCUGGGGAGUACGGCCGCAAGGCUA
rnacentral:rRNA from 1 species